UAAAGGAAAUAGUUGAUGUAAUAGAAAAAUUAAAAGGAGGAUCAAGCGUAACCAGCUUAGUAAACCAGUACAGUGUUGCAAAACCAACAAUUUGCGCUAUCAACAAAAAAAAGAGAACAUUUUAAAAUGUGUUAACAGUACAUUUUCUGGGUCUGGAAAGCGGAAGACUUUGAAGUGUUCUGAACUUCCUAAAAUGGAAAAAGCGCUUUACCGUUGGUUUCUUAAACAGCGACAAAAAAAUUACCCUGUCAAUGGAUUGAUAGUUAAAGAAAAAGCUAAAUUUUUUCAUUCAAUAAUUAAAGAAACUCAAAGCGAUUUUAAUGCGAGUGAUGGAUGGUUGCAACGCUUUAAGAAGCGUUAUGGUCAGGAAAUUUUUAAAAGAUCAAGGAUUGCCCAAUAAAGCUCUGCUGUUGAUAGACAAUGCUCCAUCUCAUCCUCCCGAAAAUGAAUUGAGAUCAGAUGACGAGUUAAUAACUGCAAUGUUUAUGCCACCUAAUGUCACUCCACUCAUACAGCCAAUGGAUCAAAAUGCCAUACGACUAACAAAGCUUUUCUACAGAAACAGUCUUUUGGCAUCAAUUGUAGCCACAGGGACUGAUGUUAUUGAAGCCCUAAAGAAAUUGACGUUAAGAGACGAUAUUGGCUAUUUAGAUUUAGCUUGGUAACGUCUUGAAAAGGAAACAAUAGCAAAAUGCUGGACGAACAUUUUAAGCUCCAUAGAAGAUGAAAAAGACUGUGAUGAGGAUAUUCCAUUAGCUACUUUGAGAGAAAGGAUUUGUUUACCAAUUAACAGCCAACAAGAACGCGCAAUAGAACUGCUUCAUUCAAUUAAUCCAGAGGUUAGUUUUUCAAUUGCUGAUAUCAAUGAAUGGACUGAAGAUUUUCCUAACUCAACCGAAACGAACGAGGUUUUAAUUAGUGAUGAAAGUGAAAGCGAGGAUAGUAAUCUGGAAAGACUACAUGCAAGAAUAGAGCCUAGUGAAGCGAUCAACAUUUUUAAUAAAGCUUUGGAAUGGGCGGAAGAUGAAAAUAUAAGUCCAACAGAUAUCAGCGUACUUAAAUG